AUGAUAAACAACAUACAGAAGAACGGGAUGUGUAUCUAUAUAUAAGAAAUUAAAUAAUAAAAAU
rnacentral:guide_RNA from 1 species